rnacentral:misc_RNA from 1 species
AGGUACUCUUCCCAUUGUUUUACUUACCUACCAAAUGUACUAUUAUAGCUCAAACUAGACUUUGAUUUCAAAUUAAACAAACAUUUGAAAACAUUUCUUUUGUGAAGGGAUCAGUCACAACUUAGUUUAGGGGUAACUCCAUAAACUUAGGAAAGCUUUGAAUAUCUAUCAAGAUUUUAAAUAUCUAUACAGCACUAUUUUACUGUUUCAGUCUUUUUUUGAAUAACUUUAUUUCUUCUGCUGCUUGUGAUAGUCAAAUUACUCUACGGUUUAUUUUAAAUGAAAUGUUCUAUGCCCUUGCUUGCAUGUUUCAGAUGCUAUUGUUUAGUAGACAGCAAAUGACUUGCUUGCCUGGGAUGCUGCAAGUUUCGUAGUUACUCAUUUUGGCCAAUCUUUUCUGCCUGCAGUU